rnacentral:rRNA from 1 species
CCUACGGGUGGCUGCAGUGGGGAAUAUUGCACAAUGGGCGCAAGCCUGAUGCAGCCAUGCCGCGUGUGUGAAGAAGGCCUUCGGGUUGUAAAGCACUUUCAGCGGGGAGGAAGGCGUUAAGGUUAAUAACCUUGGCGAUUGACGUUACCCGCAGAAGAAGCACCGGCUAACUCCGUGCCAGCAGCCGCGGUAAUACGGAGGGUGCAAGCGUUAAUCGGAAUUACUGGGCGUAAAGCGCACGCAGGCGGUCUGUCAAGUCGGAUGUGAAAUCCCCGGGCUCAACCUGGGAACUGCAUUCGAAACUGGCAGGCUAGAGUCUUGUAGAGGGGGGUAGAAUUCCAGGUGUAGCGGUGAAAUGCGUAGAGAUCUGGAGGAAUACCGGUGGCGAAGGCGGCCCCCUGGACAAAGGCUGACGCUCAGGUGCGGAAGCGUGGGGAGCAAACAGGAUUAGAUACCCGUGUAGUC